rnacentral:lncRNA from 1 species
GUGCAACCACUCAUCAACACUCUGCUGGCCUCCAGCAACAACCAGUUGGUCUCUAGCAACAAUCAUUUGGCCUCCAGCAACAACCAGCCGGCCUCCAACAACAUCAAAUUGGCCUCCAGCGACAGCCAGUUGGUCUCUGGCAACACCAAAUUGGCCUCCAGCAAUGUGCAACCACUUGUCAACGUCCAGCUGGCAUCCAGCAACAACCAGUCAGCAUCUGGCAAUGCCCAGCUGGCCUCCAACAACACCCGACUGCUCUCCAGCAACACCCAGUUGGCCCCCAGCAACACCCAGCUGGCCUCCAACAGUGUGCAACUGCUUGUCAACUCCCAGUUGGCCUCCAGCAACAAUCAGCUGGCCUCCAAAAACGUACAAUUGCCUUCCAGCAACACCCAACUGCUCAUCAGCACUCAACUGACCUCCAGCAACACCCAACCGAUGGUUAACAACAUCCAGCUGGCCUCCAACAACACCCAACUGAUGGCAGACAACCAACUGACCUCCAACAACACCCAACUGAUGGCCAGCAACACCCAGUCGACCUCCAACAACAACCAGCUGAUGACCAACACCCAAGUGAACAACAACACCCAACUGAACUCCAACAACACCCAACUGACAGCCAGCAACACCCAACCAAGCUCCAACACCCAUCUGAUGGCCAGCAACACCCAAAUGAUCUCCAACAACACCUCACCCAUCUCCAACACCCAACCAAGUUCCAGCAACACCCAACUGAUGGCCAAUAACACCCAACUGAUGGCCAACGACACCCAACUGAUCUCCAACACCCAACUGAUGGCCAACAACACCCCACCCAUCCCCAGCAACACCCAAGCCAUCUCCAACAACACCCAACUGGUCUCCAACACCCAACCAAGUUCUAACAACACCCAACUGAUGGCCAACAGCCGAGCUCCAACCGAGGCCGGGUGACGAAAACACCCCUCCAUCCCAAACCCCCAAACCCAGAACCACCAGUUGGUCUCUCUUGGGUGCUACCCCAAAUUUUUGGGUCCCCCCCACUUCAGAAACCUCCAAACACCCCCAGUCGGUGACAAAAUACCCUCCAACAACAGGCGGAGGAACCCGAAUCCAAUGCCCGGUGUGCCGUCGGGUGUUGAGCUGCCAACGGGGGUCCAGGUCACAUUUUGGGGGUCACAUCCCCUUCCGGUGUAGGGUCUGUGGGAGGGGGUUUUCCAGUCGGGGUCACCUGAAAUCUCAUUUUGGGGGUCACCGUGGGGUCAACCCAAAUACCUGUAGCGUUGGAGAAGGUUUGGGGUCACAACAACGCGACCGGGGUUAUUUGGGGAGGGGGCUGCUGCCCCAAGGGGAGGGGGAACAGCGGAACCAGGAGGAGGAGGAGGAGGAUGGAGAGGAAGAAGCGGGCGAAGCGGACCCCAAAAUUGGGGGGGGACCCUCGGAUGAGGAAGAGGAGGAAGAGGGGAGGAAGGCGGAGAGAAGGAGACGAGCGGGGAGGUAUGGAGGGGGAGG